rnacentral:rRNA from 1 species
AUUGAACGCUGGCGGCAGGCUUAACACAUGCAAGUCGAGCGGAGACUUCGGUCUUAGCGGCGAACGGGUGAGUAAUACCUAGGAAUCUGCCUAUUAGUGGGGGAUAACGAAUCGAAAGGUUCGCUAAUACCGCAUACGUCCUACGGGAGAAAGGGGGGGAUCUUCGGACCUCUCGCUAAUAGAUGAGCCUAGGCCGGAUUAGCUAGUUGGUAGGGUAAAGGCCUACCAAGGCGACGAUCUGUAGCUGGUCUGAGAGGAUGGCCAGCCACACUGGAACUGAGACACGGUCCAGACUCCUACGGGAGGCAGCAGUGGGGAAUAUUGGACAAUGGGGGCAACCCUGAUCCAGCCAUGCCGCGUGUGUGAAGAAGGCCU